AAGUCGUAACAAGGUUUCCGUAGGUGAACCUGCGGAAGGAUCAUUACCAAUUUUUAGCGUUCCUGGUCUUGUUGAUCAUGGUUUCGCGAAAAUCGUAUUUAAAACCCCACUCUUAUAAAAUGAAUCAUUUUUUUUUAUAAUAAUAAAAAAGAUCACUUUCAACAACGGAUCUCUUGGCUCUC
rnacentral:misc_RNA from 1 species